CAGUUGUGCUGCUUAAUAUUAUUUUAUAACCUGUGAUACUUGUGCUGUUCUAUGAGAACUUUCAAUAUUUAGUCUAAGUUAAAAGUUAUAGUUAGCACCAUCUUGUGUUCAAAGUUUAGUACUGCAUGUAAUGUUGUAGAGUCCUUUUAUGAUGACAUCAUAAUCACAAGACAGAUCUCCAGCAAGCAGCAGUAAAGACCAUGUGGUUAUGGCUGCCAUCAUUCCCUGAUUUAAGCUGGUCAGAAGGCACAUUCGAGCAAAAAUGCGCCCUCUUGAGGAGCAGUACCGUCCACUGGAGGAAGCCGGUUAAAGGUGCCAUAGAAUUGAAAAUUGAAUUUACCUUGGCAUAGUUGAAUAACAAGAGUUCAGUUCAUGGAAAUGACAUACAGUGAGUCUCAAACUCCAUUGUUUCCUCCUUCUUAUAUAAAUCUCAUUUGUUUAAAAGACCUCUGAAGUACAGGUGAAUCUCAACAUAACACCGACUGUUACGUAACAGUCAGGAUCAUUAAUAUGUAUACCCCCAAUAUUUGCCUAUGCCAGUUCAUGUUCAAGGCAUUACACAAGGCAGAAUUCAUGUCUGGAGCAGCACAGCCGAAUCAACAGACUUUAUGCAGGGACAGGUUGCUCUAAGUACCUGAUAUUGGACCAGUGAUUAGGAGGGUAAGUGAUCAAGGCACACAAGGACACAGACAAUAAAUGGAAAUGAGUUGAUGUAUUUUGUUUGUGCAAAAAUAAUAAUGGAAGCAAAUGUAACACAAUCACAACAACAAUUAAAUAAAAAUUGUUCUUUUCAA